rnacentral:rRNA from 1 species
UGGGGAAUAUUGCACAAUGGGCGCAAGCCUGAUGCAGCCAUGCCGCGUGUAUGAAGAAGGCCUUCGGGUUGUAAAGUACUUUCAGUCGGGAGGAAGGUGGUAAGGUUAAUAACCCUAUCAAUUGACGUUACCGACAGAAGAAGCACCGGCUAACCCCGUGCCAGCAGCCGCGGGAAUACGGAGGGUGCAAGCGUUAAUCGGAAUUACUGGGCGUAAAGCGCACGCAGGCGGUUGAUUGAGUCAGAUGUGAAAUCCCCGGGCUUAACCCGGGAAUUGCAUCUGAUACUGGUCAGCUAGAGUCUUGUAGAGGGGGGUAGAAUUCCAUGUGUAGCGGUGAAAUGCGUAGGGAUGUGGAGGAAUACCGGUGGCGAAGGCGGCCCCCUGGACAAAGACUGACGCUCAGGUGCGAAAGCGUGGGGAGCAAACAGG